rnacentral:rRNA from 1 species
CCUACGGGCAGCAGCAGUGGGGAAUAUUGGACAAUGGGGGGAACCCUGAUCCAGCCAUGCCGCGUGUGUGAAGAAGGCCCUCGGGUUGUAAAGCACUUUCAGUGAGGAAGAACGCCUGGUGGUUAAUACCCAUCAGGAAAGACAUCACUCACAGAAGAAGCACCGGCUAACUCCGUGCCAGCAGCCGCGGUAAUACGGAGGGUGCGAGCGUUAAUCGGAAUUACUGGGCGUAAAGCGCGCGUAGGUGGCUUGAUAAGCCGGUUGUGAAAGCCCCGGGCUCAACCUGGGAACGGCAUCCGGAACUGUCAAGCUAGAGUGCAGGAGAGGAAGGUAGAAUUCCCGGUGUAGCGGUGAAAUGCGUAGAGAUCGGGAGGAAUACCAGUGGCGAAGGCGGCCUUCUGGACUGACACUGACACUGAGGUGCGAAAGCGUGGGUAGCAAACAGGAUUAGAUACCCGAGUAGUC